CCUACGGGAGGCAGCAGGUGGGAAUCUUGCACAAUGGGCGAAAGCCUGAUGCAGCCAUGCCGCGUGUGUGAAGAAGGCCUUAGGGUUGUAAAGCACUUUCAGUGGCGAAGAAAAGGUCGGCGUUAAUAGCGCCGCCCCUUGACGUUAACCACAGAAGAAGCACCGGCCAACUCCGUGCCAGCAGCCGCGGUAAUACGGAGGGUGCGAACGUUAAUCGGAAUUACUGGGCGUAAAGGGCGUGUAGGCGGUGCGAUCAGUCAGAGGUGAAAGCCCCGGGCUCAACCUGGGAAUUGCCUUUGAUACUGUCACACUAGAGUUCGGGAGAGGGUAGUGGAAUUCCCAGUGUAGAGGUGAAAUUCGUAGAUAUUGGGAAGAACACCGGUGGCGAAGGCGGCUACCUGGACCGAUACUGACGCUGAGGCGCGAAAGCGUGGGGAGCAAACAGAAUUAGAUACCCUGGUAGUCCACGCCGUAAACGAUGAGAACUAGCCGUUGGGGGUAUUAGAAACCUUUAGUGGCGCAGCUAACGCGAUAAGUUCUCCGCCUGGGGAGUACGGCCGCAAGGUUAAAACUCAAAGGAAUUGACGG
rnacentral:rRNA from 1 species